UAAAAGGCGGCGCUGUAAAUAAAAUGAUAAAAACAAUGGAACGAGUAUCUUAUUUAAGUGAUCGUAAGGGAGGUUGUCGGUAGGAAAUUAAUGACUGCAGACAAAGAGAUGAAUAUUGAAAGGCACUUUUUUCUUUUUUUUUCUGGAGGUAGCUGUAAAUGAUGAAUCGACUGUGCGUCUUAAGAUGUCUAGAGACAUGAAGGAAAAAGGAGAUGCUCAGGAAUGAUAAUGAGAAACAUACUGUGGCCAAGAAGGAGAUGGAAAAGCAAAACUUAACAGUGAAAUUGAGUAAGAACAAAACAAGACAACUGAAAAAAAAAAAAGCACAAGGAAAUGCUUCGGUCUGCAGGAAUGAUACUUAAAUCCAUGGCUGUGAAGUUCACUUAUCAAUCAGGAAAAUGCAGCAGUGAAGAUGAAGGUCUGGAUGCAACAGAAGGAAGGCAGCGGAGGUGUUAGAUUUCUUACAAGCAACACAAGAGAUCUAUUUUGCUGACUGUGCAUCCCUUGUUUCUGAGCCCUUGGUUCCUCUUGAUGAACAAUCUUGACACUCGCACUGUGCCUUCUUCAGAUGUUGCCAUGCUGUAUGAGCUCAAGUCCCUUGUCCUCCUGCAGGAUAUUGACCAUACUGGAAGGAUUCCCAGACAAUUCAAUGAUGC